AAUAAUUGUAGGUAAUCCCUAGAAGUAAUUAUGUUUUGGGAAUGCCUAUCUAAAUAUAGUCUUUCUUAGAUUUUGGUAACUUGAAACUAAAGUUGAAAGUGUAAUAGGGAAGAACCUUUUGUAUUCUCUUCCAAAGUGAAAGUGAAAGUGGCUUAGUCCUGUCCGACUCUUUGCGACCCAGGCCAGAUUCUCCAGGAAAGAAUACUGGAGUGGGUAGCCUUUCCCUUCUCCAGGUGAUCUUCCCAACCCAGGGAUUGAAGCCUGUCUCCCACAUUGCAGGUGGAUUCUUUACCAGCUGAGCCACAAGGGAAGCCCAAGAAUACUGGAGUGGGUAGCCUAUUCCUUCUCCAGCAGAUCUUCCCAACCUAGGAAUUGAACCGGGGUCUGCUGCACUGCAUUCUAUUCCAAGUUCAUCACUAAAGGGAUGCUGCCUAUAAGCUUAAAUUAUACAUAAUGGCCAUCUCUGGGAACCCUGCUUCCCAGAGAAUGAGCAUUAAGCUAAAAUACCUGUAUUUAUCUCACAGGAAACCUCCCGACUAGGCCCACUUGUGAACGGCUGCAGGAAGAGGAAAUUCACACGACCUGUCCAGAGGCUGAUGCGAACCAGGAAGUGUUUGACUUUACUCCCUCCCCUUUUAGUACAGAAGGAGUCUGGAUCUAACUCAGGCAAGAUGGUUCUUUGGGAGCACAAGCUGACCAUCUUCUCAGUCUGCUGGCUUUCUGAAUGAAGUCAUUAUUCCUUGCCCCAACAACUUGUCUCUCGAUUAUCAGCCUGCCAUGCGUGCUUCAUCUUGAAGAAGAUUCAUAGGAAGGAUGUUUUAACAAGUACAGAUCUCUGAUCUACAUCUUUGAUCGUGUGUGUAUGCUAAGUCACUUCAGCCAUGUCUGACUCCUUGCAACCCUCUGGACUAUCUAUGGACUGCAGCCCGCCAGGCCCCUCUGUCCACGGGAUUCUCCAGGCAAGAACACUGGAGUGGGCUGCUACUCCUCCUCCAGGGGGUCUUCCUGACCCAGGGAUGGGACCUGCAUCUUUCAAGUCCUCUGCACUGGCAGGCAGGUUCUUUACCAGAAGCACCACCUGGGAAGCCCAUGUCUUAGAUCACUUUUUUUAAAUAUAAUUAUUGAUAAAUUAGGGCUUAAAUUUGCCAUUUUAUUUUUCUGUUUCUUUCCUCUGACUGUUACUCUAUUUCACUGUUCUUAUCUCCCUGUGGGUUACUGAAACAUUUCUUAGGAAUACAGUGAUUUAUUUCUAGUGUUUUUCAGUAUCUUGAACGGUUUCCUUAGAGGCUGAUGGAGGUACUAUAUGCAUCUAUAAAACUCACCACUCUGAAGUUUAGAAAACUUCCUUCCAUUUAGAUCCCUUUACCUUCUUCACUUUUAAAAACAAGUUGUUUGAAGUAUUUUCCCCUGCACAUACUGAGCACCAUUUCAGAUGAUGCUAUAGUGUUUGUUUCAACCAUCAAGUAUGAUUUAAGACAUUCAAGAGAAGCAGAAUAGUCUAUCAAAUUCACUCCUCUUUUUAUCACUCCAGUGUUCUUUCCUUUCUGAAGUUCUAAGCUUUCUUUCUGUUAUAUUCUGUUUAGAGAAUCGCCUUUAGCUGCACUUCUGCUAGCAACAAAUAAUCUUAGUUUUUCAUCACCUGAGUAUGUCUUGAUUUCCCUUUCUUCUGACGGAUGUUUCCACCAGACACAAAAUUUCCUGUUGACAGUUCUUUUCUUUCAGUACUUAAAAAUGUUAGGCCAAUUCCUUCAACACCCCAGUUUCAGAUAACUGCUGUCAUUAGAAUUCAUGUUCCCCUGUAAGUAAUGUGUCAUUUCUCACUACUUUCAAGACUUUUUCUUUGGUGUUCAGAAGUUUAAUUAUGACAUGUCCAGUGUACUUUUCUUUGCAUUUGUCUGAUUUGGGGUUUACUCAGUUUUUUAGGUUAAUGUUUUUGGCUCACUUUGGGACGUUUUCAGACACGAUGUUUUCAAAUA